UCGUUCGCUUCGCGCUCGCUCCUCUCGCGAGAAGCCCCUCUUUACAUUUACAUGGCCGGCUCCUCGAGGCCGCUCGCGAGGACAUCGCGCUCAUGAAUUUAUCCCGUGAGUCGUACGGAGAGGGAGGAGGCACGAGAUGAUAGCCGGAUAACGUUGGCGUAUCAUUGGACCAGUUCUUGGAGACGCGAAACGCGACCCGCACGGUGAAUCGAAAUGGCAGGAAUUGUCGGUGUGUUUGCGCUGCUUCUUUUGGGUUGGACUGAUGGUUGGAUUACUUAGUUUGUAUAACGCAGGUGGGUGGUUCGAGAAGGUUAAUUGUUUUGGCGAGUUGACUCGUUGAAGUACUGCGUCGAGUGGGUGCAAGUGACAUAUUCUUAUACAUUGUCAGAAAUUCUGUUUUGCUGAAGAUAAGCAAGAGAUAUUGGAUUUGAGAGUGAAACGGCUGAAAGCAUCGGCGUGUAUCUUUUGUUGCUUCUGAGUUGAGCUGAAUUGGUGGUUGUGUAGUGCUGAUGGAUGGUCGAAGGAGGGGUCGUUUCGUGGAACGAGUUUAUGAAGUACCGCACAGAGUAGGUGGAAGGAUAAAGCAAGCGAAUCGAACGCUGCUGCAUCGUGAUCGGCCAUUUUUCCCUCGUUGAACGGUCAACCGAACCGUCUGGCCGCUCGUAAAGCCGGUUGAUUUAUUCAACGGAUCAGCGUGGAACAGCGACUAAUUAGCGCGAUUAGCUUGCGCCACACGAUCUUCGUAUUCGUACGCGGUUGAUCGUUUCGCGGUGCAUGAAUGGACGCCUUCGAAUAGUCAGACUAAUACCUGAAACCUGGCCGAUCGAGCAAGUAACGAGCGAUCACGUUGAAAGCGAACCUGACGGCGAAUUAACGAUGAGACCAAUUAACGAUGGAAGAAUGAGGAGAGCAAAGUAUGGAAGCGAACGGUUUUUUAACAGAGAUCGAAGGAGGUGGUUGAAGGAUUCGAAGGUUGGUGGACGACGUUCUGCAGCUUGAAGAUGAAUAAGGGGACUAAUUAACGAAGGAGAACGAACAGAGGUGACUAUGAAAUAUAGGAGGAUGUUAUAUAGGACUGUUUUUCACAACCAAUAACGAUUGUGAUAUUUCUAUAUUGACAUAUCGUAACACAUACAAUUACCAUU